UGAUGGCGCAUGGUCUCUCCGGAACACGUGGAAGUAUGAAAUACUUCAUCUUGUAACUCCUAACAGGAAGGUUCCCUAGGAAGCUGUUAACACUACCAUUGCCAUCUUGGAAAAUGAGCAGUAACUCCCUAAUGUAACCUCCCAGAUGGUCUUCACAGUCAAGGUCCAUGGUUCCCCAGAUGGCAAAGGAGAGCAUCAGAUUCCCCUGGAGCUGGAGUUACAGUGGUUGCAAGCUGCCAUACAUGCCACACACUGGUCCUCUGUAGAAGUAAUGUGUGAACUUCUGGUCUAUCUCUCCAGACCCAGUCCUUCUGUUUUUGUUUAUUGUUUUAGUUUUAAGGGGUAGAGUCUCAGCAUGUUUCUCAGGCUGAUGAACUCUUUUUUGUUUGUUUAUUUGUGUUUCUCUGUGUAGCUUUGGAACCUAUCUUGGCACUGGCUCUGUAGGCCAGGAUGGCCUGGAACUCACAGAGAUCCGCCUGCCUCUGCCUCCUGAGUGCUGGGAUUAAAGGCUUGCACCACCAAUGCCCUGCGCCAGGCUGAUGAACUCUUUCAGUAAGUAGUCUGUCCUCUUGCCUGAGCCUCCCAAGCAGCUUGGACUACAGGUCCAUCCUCUGACUACCAGGUAACAAUCCUUUUAAUGUUGUUGAAAUCUGUUUGCAUCUGUGCUCUUCUGGAGUAUUGGAUUAUAACCUCCUUUUUUUGUAGUGCCUCUGCCUGCCUUUAAUAAUGGAGUAAUACUUGUAAAACAAAUUUGGGAGUAUUUCAUCCAACCAACUCUUAGGGAUAAGUUUGAGAAGGAUUGGUAUUCAUUCUUUCCUUAGAUAUUGAUGAAGUUCAGCAGCAAAGCCAUCAGAUCACAGAGAUUUUUUUCUUUGAUGGGAGAUAUUUGUUUUACAUUUAAAAUUUUGUUUCAUUAUUUUAUGGUUUUUUUUUUUUUUUGCAUGUGUGUCUGCGUAUCACCUAAAUGCAGUGCCUAUGGAGCCCGGAAGAGGACAUCAUAUACAUGAAUUUGACAGGUUAUUUGUGAGCCGCCAAGUGGGUGCUUAGACCUGAACUUGAGUCCUCUUGAAGAGAAGCCAGUGCUCUUAGCCACCUUUCCAACCCCUCUCCUUAUCAUCUGGACAGACCAAGGGUUCCUCUCAAUAAAGCCAGAAGAAUUAAUUACCUCCCCUUCAUUUCUAUGUCAGUGUUGACACUCGAACUGGAUGCUUUAAAUGAGUCCUUUCCUCAAACUUGAGCUUGCCCCCAUUUCUAUUCAUGGAGUUUUGCCUGUUUUCUUUUGUUAUAAUUAGUUACAGUCAUUAAUUUUGAUGCUUAGACCGUCUAUCAUGUAGCUGGAGGUGCUCCUUCAAUCCACACACCCUUUGGGGACACAUCCUCUUGGUUUUGAGCAGAACCUCACUUUCGGGAACUCCAUACUCCAGGCUUAAUUUGUACUUUUCCUUCUCCAGUCAUGGGAAUUAGGAAUUCCCACAGGAGUCCAUGGAUUUUUGAAACACUAGUGAGAAAGCAAGUGUUAGAAACCAAGACCUAAAAUAAAAAGUGCUUGUUUCUACCAGGGCACCAUCACUUUCAGGGUCCUCCCAGGCAUUGGACUGCUUUUAAAAACAAAUCUGUAUAAUAAUUCAAUCUUAGCAUUACAAUAUUUUGCUGUUACUUCCUUUUUCACACUGAGAAUUUUGACUCCCUGUGAUGUUUGUAAGAAUAUAUGAGAACAGCCAUGCAGCACACACCACCUUCACCAGUGGUAUCCAAAACAUAAUGGUUCCUUUGACACUUUCUCCAAAGUUGAGCGCAUAUCCAGAUGUUUUCAGAUAUCUCAGUGAAAAGCCAUUAUCUUAAGAGAAAAAAAAAAAGAAAGGAAGGAAGGGCAGAAAAAGAUUCAUUUAUUUUUUUUUUAAUGUAUGUGUAUGACUCGAGUGUGUGCAGGUGCCAUCUGAGGCCAGAAGAGGGCACUGAGUUCCCUGGAGUGGGAGUUAGCAGUCAGCUGUAAGCUGCCCAAUCUGGGUGCUAUGAACCAAACUUCAGACCCCUGCGAGACUCCCUAGUGCUCUUAACCACUGAGCCAUCUCCUCAAACCCAACCAUUAUUGUUUGUUUUCGUCUUUUUACAGUGCUGGAGAAUGAACCCAGGGCCUUGUGCAAGCAAGUGCUCUACCACUGAGCUCCUUCCUCAGCCCAGAAACCUUUGAUGUCUGUAUCUGUUUAAUCACAUUGGCUGCCCUCUUUUGAACUAACUCUGAUUCAUUCUACUUACUGUAGAAGUAAAUCAAAAACAACACUAUGCAGAUGGUUCUGAGAUGAAGUGUUUUUAUAUACGGUGUUUCUUCUUUGUGUUUACUGUCCUCCAUGUUGUUGUUCAUCAAUUUCCUUGUCUCUGAGGCCCAAACACUCUAGUAGAUCAUUUAUACUAUGAAUUCCCAAACUCUCCCCUGGGCUGGAAGUCCUAGUGAGGAUCUCGUGGCUCCAUGUGCAUCUGGGUGUUUUCCUUUCUCAAAAUGUCUUGUGAUUAACCACUGAGUCAACACACCCACAUUAGUUUGAGAUUUUAUGAGAAAAAUAGCUUUGGAGAUUUUGCUCAUUUUUUCCUCCAAAUUCCCUAUAAAAGUGAUCAAUAUUACAGGACUGCUCCCCAGAAGUCAUUCAUCUAUUUUGAUAUAAUUUCUAUCUUCUGUGUUGAUUUCAAAACCAAAUUACAGCCAUAGUGAACACCUUUCUCAGUUUACAAUGUUUUAUGUGAACAGCAGUAUUUGAGUAUGAAAUUUUAUGCCUCUUAUUUAUUUUUGAGAUGGGCAUAGCCCAGGCUGGCCUGAAAUUUCUAGGUAGCUGAGGAUAACUAAGCUUCUGAUCCUCCUGCCUUCACCUUUUAUGAGCUCAAACUACAGGCAUGCAUCUCCAUACCUUCUUUAUGAGGUGCUGGGAUCAAACCCAAGACUUGCUCUAUGUUUGGUAAAUGCUCUGCUGAUUGAGCUUCAUCCACACCCUUAAGUCUUCUUCAAGAGGAAUUAAUAUAUAUUUACAGUAACUACACUUCCUUUCUAGAACCAUCUCUGAAAGCCAGGUAUGGUGGUGCAUGCCUUUCAUUUCAGCACUCAGGAGACAGAGACAGGCAGAUCUCUAUGAGUUCAAAGUCAGACUGAUCUAUAAAUGGAGUUCUAGGCCAGCCAAAGCUACAUGGUGAUCCUGUCUCAAAACAAAACAAAAACAAAAACAAAAACAAAUAAUAAGGGUCUCUGUAGAUAUGAGUUACCAUAACAAAACCUAUUUGCUUUAUGUGACAAAUACUUUUAAAACUUUCUACUAUGUGCAAGCCUCUUAAAUGAUACUAGAAUAAGAGAAGCCAAUAUGACUUCUACCUGCCACUUAGGAUUCUGGGUGCUAAUAAGAUGUGCACGUAAGGAGCGACGAUACAAAUACAGACAAGAAUUAGAGGUGAUUUCUAUCCUGGAAAGUCACUUUGGAGAUGCAUGGCUAAGAGGGGGACAAGCCAUUCAAGGAGUCAGCAGUACCAUGUGCAAGGGUAUGAAGUGAGGAAGCUUUUGACACAGGGCCUUUCAAUUUGCUUGGAGCAAAGGGCGUUGAAGGAAGCAAAUGGAAAUGAGCUGGCGUGGUGUCGACAGCUUGAUUCUAAGUGCAUUUGCAUGUGAAGCUAAACUCUGUAGGUUUUGUUUGGUGAGCAAUAGGAAGUGUGUUCCAAUCAGUAGUAAUAUUAUUAAAGUAGAACAGCUGCAUAUUCUAACACCAUCUUUACAAUAUGUAAUGCGGCACUGUGAGGAGGAGGCUGGAGCCCAAAAUACAGCACAAGAGAUGGGAGGAGGUGGGAGAUGGAACAGAGAAAGGCUCUGCUUGGGAAAUGUAUGAAAAUACAAGAAUAAAAAGAGAAGCAAUAUCUGAAGGAUCAUUUGAUUUACAUUUUUCCAUUUAGCCCUGUUUCCCAGUCUCUGUCUGCCAGCAAAGAGAGUCAGGCAACAAGGCAGGUACUGCCAAGCAGGAGAAGGGAAGCGAGGCUGUUUCUGAAGGAACUGGAUGUAUCCCUGCUGAGUUCUAAGGAGGCUAAAGGGAUCUGGGAGCUGCAGGGAAAAGUCUCUCAGCUUUGGGUGGAAAGCUCAAGGGGAUGAUUCUCUGAGAAUGUUUGCUCUCAAUGGAAGCCUGCCCCCUCUGGUUGUUUAGAGCCUACUAGGAAGAAAACCAACAAGGGCACAGAUCUGCAGGGGGAGCUUUUUAACCCACUAAGGAAGGCACCAGGUCCUCCUCCUUCCAACUGAAUAAUAUGGAGCCUAACUUCCCUCCUGAAGAGUAGGCAGGGGAUACUGACUUCUUCCAAGGGAAAAUAAUGGUUUUAGGUGGAGAAACCUGACCAGCACAGUGCAAAGUUGUGUUGCUGUGUCCUGAUAUGGUGUCCGGAGGAUGGAAGUUGACCUCCUUGGUCCUCCUCCCCAGAUCCCAUGUCUUGAAUCAAUCAUGGUGGAGGCAUCAGAGAAACCUCAAUGGCAAGACAUUCCACAGCAUACUUAACUAGGAUGUUUCAACACUGUCAAGGUCAUCAAAGAUAAGGACAUCUGGAGAAAGUCAAAGCUAAGAGGAGGCCAGGAGAUGUGUAAUACAGCACUUCAUGAGAAUUCCUGGGUGGGAUCCUUUAGGGGAAAAUGACAGAAGCCUAAACUAUGUACUUGAGCAAAUGACACUGCAUAAUUGUCCUCAUUAAGAAGUAUACUAUAGUAUUAGGAGGCAUUAAUAAUAAUAAUAAUAAACCUGGUGUGAGACAUACAGAAGAACUCACUGUGUUAUUUUAAUAACUUUUCUGUAACUCUAAAACUAUUCUAAAAUAAGCUUAUGAAAUUUUAAGCAAAAAAGUGAAUUGUUUAUUAGUCACUUGAAGCAAAGCAAUAGCAUGAAAAGUAGUUAGAAGAACAGGAGGUGGUAGUGUUUGAAAAGUCAGUACUCUGCUACUGUAUCCUGUAUCCAGCAAGCAAGAACAGUAUGCUCUUAAAAGGGAAUAGUCUAGGGCUGGGGAGAUAGCUCAGUCAGCAAUGUGCUUCCUAUAUAAGCAUGAGAAUCAGAAUUUGGAUUCCCAGUUCCCCCAUCAGUGAGGGGCAGGCAUGGUGACCCAACUAUAAACCCAGCUCAUACACAUGUACCCAUAUGCAUGUGAACAUCACACACACACACACACACACACACACACACACACACACACACACACGAGAUCUAGUUUAAAAAGAAAGAAAGGAAGAAACGAAAAGGCAGAAGGAUGCAGUCUGAGGACCAACAACUGCCCUUCACUGCUAAGGCAAAGACAGAUGGCACACAAGCAAGAAAGGAUAAGCUCAGAUCAGUUCAGACAGUCACUUAACUAUUAGGACACGAUCAGGGAGUAAAUACAAUCUUAGCUGGGCAUGGCAGUGCAUAUCUGUAAUCCCACCACUUGGAAGGUGGAGGCACCAAGAUCUGGAGAAUCCAAGGCUAGCCUGAACAACACGGCAACAUAAAGGCUACCCUGACCAUCAUUGUAUGGCCUGCCUUGAAAACAAAAACAAAAAACAAAACCGUCUCAAAAGUGAUGGGUGUGUAGCUCUGUGGUAGAGAACCUGCCGAGAAUGUUCAAGACCCUGGAUUUGAUCCCCAUCCAGCACUUAAACAAAUGUUAUCUUAGCAAAUAACUGCCCUGCAGGGAAUGUGUUUUCACAGCCACAAUAAUAAAACAGGUUAACUUUCAACUUUCAUAUCUAUCUCUAGACAGCACUUGAAAUAUUAUUUUGCAGCACAGAGUAAGGUAAUAAACUGUGGAAAAUGGAGUAGAAGUUCUUCUAAUCGAAUUUGGAAGGUUGGAAAUGGAAGGAGAGACUGCAAAAGGUGGGAUGAAACAGCGCGUAUCUAUUUAAUGAGCAGUGAUUGAGAUAAUACAAAUCAAGUAAGAAACUAGGAAGGCUGAGAACUAUUGGCCUACUACCAUCCAUCCACCGGCUGGUCCAUCCAGCAUGUAGAUAAACUCUAGCUGUCUCCAAGGUCAGAAAACUGCGCGCCUAAACUUGAACACAUCUAGAGUUGAGUUUUAUAUUUACUCGGCGUUUUUUGUUGUUGUUUUGUUUUUAGUUUUAUAGAGGUUGAAAGCUAUUUACAGUGAAUUAUAUAAUUUUUGGAAUCCUGACAAAUUCAUAGAUCUGUGUCACCUAGACCCCCACUGAGUUUCUGCCACCCAGUAACAUUCCCUUAGGCUCCUUCCUAGACAGCCCUUGCCCCAGGGGACACCCCUUUGUUGUCAUCAGAGAGCACUUGGCUUGUUCUAUCUUUUUAAAAGAUUUAUUUAUUUUACGCAUAUGGUGCUCUACCUACAUAUAGAGCCUACAUACCAGAAGAGUAUAUCAGAUCCCAUUAUAGAUGACUGUGAGCCACCAUGUUGUUUCUGAGAAUUCAACUCAGGACCUCUAGAAGAGCAGCCAACAUUCCUAAUCGCAGAGCCAUCUCUCCAGUCCCUUCAUCUUUUAAAUCUAUUUUUGGAGUUGUUUUUGAAUUUUUUUUGAGAGAGGGUCUCACUAUGUAACUCUCAAUCCUCUUGACUCAGCCCAAUACUUGGAUUACAAGUGUGUGCUACCAAAAGCAAUAAAUUACUGUUUUCUCCGAAUUCCAAAAAAAAAAAAAAAAAAAAAAAAAAAAAAAAAAA